rnacentral:rRNA from 1 species
AUUGAACGCUGGCGGCAGGCUUAACACAUGCAGGUCGAGCGGGGGAAGGUAGCUUGCUACUGGACCUAGCGGCGGACGGGUGAGUAAUGCUUAGGAAUCUGCCUAUUAGUGGGGGACAACAUCUCGAAAGGGAUGCUAAUACCGCAUACGUCCUACGGGAGAAAGCAGGGGAUCUUCGGACCUUGCGCUAAUAGAUGAGCCUAAGUCGGAUUAGCUAGCUGGUGGGGUAAAGGCCUACCAAGGCUACGAUCUGUAGCGGGUCUGAGAGGAUGAUCAGACACACUGGGACUGAGACACGGCGCAGACUCCUACGGGAGGCAGCAGGUGGGAAUAUUGGACAAUGGGGGGAACCCUGAUCCAGACAUGAAGCGUGUGUGAAGAAGGCCUUAUGGUUGUAAAGCACUUUAAGCGAGGAGGAGGCUACUUUAGUUAAUACCUAGAGAUAGUGGACGUUACUCGCAGAAUAAGCACCGGCUAACUCUGUGCCAGCCGCCGCCGUAA